UACGUAGGGUGCAAGCGUUGUCCGGAAUUAUUGGGCGUAAAGAGCUCGUAGGCGGUCCGUCACGUCGGCUGUGAAAACCUGGUGCUCAACCCCGGGCCUGCAGCCGAUACGGGCGGACUAGAAUUCGGUAGGGGAGACUGGAAUUCCUGGUGUAGCGGUGAAAUGCGCAGAUAUCAGGAGGAGCACCGGUGGCGAAGGCGGGUCUCUGGGCCGAUAUCGACGCUGAGGAGCGAAAGCGUGGGGAGCGAACAGG
rnacentral:rRNA from 1 species